UACGAAGGGGGCUAGCGUUGCUCGGAAUGACUGGGCGUAAAGGGCGCGUAGGCGGUUUGUACAGUCAGAUGUGAAAUUCCUGGGCUCAACCUGGGGGCUGGCAUUUGAUACGUGCGGACUGGAGUGGGGAAGAGGGUCGUGGAAUUCCCAGUGUAGAGGUGAAAUUCGUAGAUAUUGGGAAGAACACCGGUGGCGAAGGCGGCGACCUGGUCCUUGACUGACGCUGAGGCGCGAAAGCGUGGGGAGCAAACAGG
rnacentral:rRNA from 1 species